AAAGUAGGCUACCUUAUCGAUUUCACUUCUGGUGGAAUAGGAAAGUCCGGACAUCACAGCGAAUCAUAGCGGAUAACAUCCGUCUGGCGUAAGCCAAGGACAAGUGCAACAGAAAGCAAGUACAGUUAGGCUGUAGUGAAACCAGGUAAACUCUAUGAGAUGCAAUGUUACGUAUAUUGGAGUCCCGAAAGGGUAAGGGUACGCGUCCAAUUCCAAGGGGUAAACAGCUAAAGUUAUGCAGUAAUGUAUAACGUAGAUAAAUGAUAAGGAUUUCAGUUCAACUGAAUUACAGAAUCCGGCUUAUAGCCUACUUUUUUU
rnacentral:RNase_P_RNA from 1 species